GCGCUUGUAGCUCAAUUGGUUAGAGCAAGAUCCUUUUAAGAUCGAGGUUGUCGGUUCGAGUCCGACCAGGCGCACCA
rnacentral:tRNA from 1 species